CGUGAACGAGGUGCCAAGAGCCGCGGAAAUACGGAUGUUGCAAGCGUUAAUCUGAAUUACUGGGCUGAACGCGUGCGCAUGCGGAUUAUUAAGUCAGAUGUGAAAUCCCUAGGCUCAACCUAGGAACUGCAUUUGAAAGUAAGAAACUAGAGUAUCUUAGAGGGAGGUAGAAUUACAGGUGUAUCGGUGAAAUGCGUAGAUAGCGGGAGGUAUACCAGUGGCGAAGGCGACCUCCUGGACGAAAACUGACGCUCAAGCACGAAAGCAUGGGGAGCAAACAGGAUUAGAUACCCGGGUAGUC
rnacentral:rRNA from 1 species